UACGAAGGGGGCUAGCGUUGCUCGGAAUCACUGGGCGUAAAGGGUGCGUAGGCGGGUUUUUAAGUCAGGGGUGAAAUCCUGGAGCUCAACUCCAGAACUGCCUUUGAGACUGAGUGGCUUGAGUACGGGAGAGGUGAGUGGAAUUCCCAGUGUAGAGGUGAAAUUCGUAGAUAUUGGGAAGAACACCGGUGGCGAAGGCGGCUCACUGGCCCGUAACUGACGCUCAUGCACGACAGCGUGGGGAUCAAACAGG
rnacentral:rRNA from 1 species